rnacentral:tRNA from 1 species
GCUCUCGUAGUGUAGUGGUCAUCACGUGCGAUUUACACGCGCAUGGUCCCUGGUUCGAUCCCAAGCGAGAGCA